AGUUUGGCCGAAUGGUCUAAGGCGCCAGAUUUAGGCUCUGGUCCGAAAUGGCGUGGCUUCAAAUCCCACAG
rnacentral:tRNA from 1 species